GAUGAACGCUGGCGGCGUGCCUAAUACAUGCAAGUCGAGCGAACGGACGAGAAGCUUGCUUCUCUGAUGUUAGCGGCGGACGGGUGAGUAACACGUGGAUAACCUACCUAUAAGACUGGGAUAACUUCGGGAAACCGGAGCUAAUACCGGAUGAUAUUUUGAACCGCAUGGUUCAAAAGUGAAAGACGGUCUUGCUGUCACUUAUAGAUGGAUCCGCGCUGCAUUAGCUAGUUGGUAAGGUAACGGCUUACCAAGGCAACGAUGCAUAACCGACCUGAGAGGGUGAUCAGCCACACUGGAACUGAGACACGGUCCAGACUCCUACGGGAGGCAGCAGUAGGGAAUCUUCCGCAAUGGGCGAAAGCCUGACGGAGCAACGCCGCGUGAGUGAUGAAGGUCUUCGGAUCGUAAAACUCUGUUAUUAGGGAAGAACAUAUGUGUAAGUAACUGUGCACAUCUUGACGGUACCUAAUCAGAAAACCACGGCUAACUACGUG
rnacentral:rRNA from 1 species